rnacentral:rRNA from 1 species
UACGUAGGGACCAAGCGUUGUUCGGAUUUACUGGGCGUAAAGGGCGCGUAGGCGGCAUGACAAGUCACUUGUGAAAUCUCCGGGCUUAACCCGGAACUGCCAAGUGAUACUGUCGCGCUAGAGUGCGGAAGGGGCAAUCGGAAUUCUCGGUGUAGCGGUGAAAUACGUAGAUAUCGAGAGGAACACCUGAGGUGAAGACGGGUUGCUGGGCCGACACUGACGCUGAGACACGAAGGCCAGGGGAGCAAACGGG